rnacentral:rRNA from 1 species
GAAAGAUUCAUCGGAAGAGGAUGGGCAUGCGGCGCAUUAGCUAGACGGCGGGGUAACGGCCCACCGUGGCGACGAUGCGUAGGGGUUCUGAGAGGAAGGUCCCCCACACUGGUACUGAGACACGGACCAGACUCCUACGGGAGGCAGCAGUGAGGAAUAUUGGUCAAUGGGAGAGAUCCUGAACCAGCCAAGCCGCGUGAGGGAAGACGGCCCUAUGGGUUGUAAACCUCUUUUGUCGGAGAACAAAACCCGGGACGAGUCCCGGACUGCGUGUAUCCGAAGAAAAAGCAUCGGCUAACUCCGUGCCAGCAGCCGCGGUAAUACGGAGGAUGCGAGCGUUAUCCGGAUUUAUUGGGUUUAAAGGGUGCGUAGGCGGUCUGUUAAGUCAGCGGUAAAAUUGCGGGGCUCAACCCCGUCGAGCCGUUGAAACUGGCAGACUUGAGUUGGCGAGAAGUACGCGGAAUGCGCGGUGUAGCGGUGAAAUGCAUAGAUAUCGCGCAGAACUCCGAUUGCGAAGGCAGCGUACCGGCGCCAGACUGACGCUGAGGCACGAAAGCGUGGGGAUCGAACAGGAUUAGAUACCCUGGUAGUCCACGCAGUAAAC